UACUAGAGUAGCACUCGCAUAUCAAUAAGCGGAGGAAAAGAAACUAACAAGGAUUCCCCUAGUAACGGCGAGUGAAGCGGGAAGAGCUCAAAUUUGAAAUCUUAAAGGGUUUCCCUUUACGAAUUGUAGUUUAAAGAAGUGUUUUCUGUUGAGGUUUUGGUAAAAGUUCUUUGGAAUAGGACAUCAUAGAGGGUGAGAAUCCCGUAUUUGACCUUUACUUUCAACUUUGUGAUACACUUUCAAAGAGUCGGAUUGUUUGGGAAUGCAGUCCAAAAUGGGUGGUAAAUUUCAUCUAAAGCUAAAUAUUGGCGAGAGACCGAUAGCGAACAAGUACCGUGAGGGAAAGAUGAAAAGAACUUUGAAAAGAGAGUUAAACAGUACGUGAAAUUGUCAAAAGGGAAGCGUUUGACACCAGUGUUGUUUUUCUGAGAAUCAAUUAAAGAACUGUUUAUGCUAAGUUGUUUAGACUUUAUCAGCUAUCUGUUUAGUUUUGAGCUUUUCUUUAAUGCACUUUUCAGUUAACAAGUCAACAUCAAUUUCUUUUGCUGUAAAAAAGCUUGAGGAAGGUGGCUUGAGAUUCGUCUUAAGUGUUUAUAGCCUCUUGCCUAUGCAGUCGGAGAGAUUGAGGUCUGCAGCGUAGAUCCUUCGGGGCUAAAUGCAUUUGUGCUAAGUUAUAGCAUUUUAUAGACAACUUGUUGACUAUGAUUUGUCUUGUAGCUUACUCGCUUAUGUUAUUUUACCUACGCUUAGGAUGUUGAGCGCAUGUCUCUCUCU
rnacentral:rRNA from 1 species